GGGGGUGACUGGCCUCGACUUGUGUUGUCAGUGGGUAAGUGGCAUGCCGCGGACGCUUGGUUGGCCGCGUUAACAAUCCGAGCACAAAUUACACGCUAACGAUGAAACGUUAACGUUCGAUGGUGUUAUGGCUCAAUUCGCCAAGACAGCUCCGGCUGUUCCGGUGAUGCCAGUCAUGGCUCCUUCGGCUGCGUUGGCUAUCUAAAAUAGCCAAUCCCUCUAACCUGAUGUGCCUGUUGUCGGGCUAAGAGGUCAUUCACAGGCUGGUUUUGAUGCGA
rnacentral:tmRNA from 1 species